rnacentral:rRNA from 1 species
AGUGGAUUAGCGGCGGACGGGUGAGUAACACGUGGGUAACCUGCCUCAAAGUGGGGGAUAGCCUUCCGAAAGGAAGAUUAAUACCGCAUAAUAUAAGAGAAUCGCAUGAUUUUCUUAUCAAAGAUUUAUUGCUUUGAGAUGGACCCGCGGCGCAUUAGCUAGUUGGUAAGGUAACGGCUUACCAAGGCAACGAUGCGUAGCCGACCUGAGAGGGUGAUCGGCCACAUUGGAACUGAGACACGGUCCAGACUCCUACGGGAGGCAGCAGUGGGGAAUAUUGCGCAAUGGGGGAAACCCUGACGCAGCAACGCCGCGUGGGUGAUGAAGGUCUUCGGAUUGUAAAGCCCUGUUUUCUAGGACGAUAAUGACGGUACUAGAGGAGGAAGCCACGGCUAACUACGUGCCAGCAGCCGCGGUAAUACGUAGGUGGCGAGCGUUGUCCGGAUUUACUGGGCGUAAAGGGUGCGUAGGCGGAUGUUUAAGUGGGAUGUGAAAUCCCCGGGCUUAACCUGGGGGCUGCAUUCCAAACUGGAUAUCUAGAGUGCAGGAGAGGAAAGCGGAAUUCCUAGUGUAGCGGUGAAAUGCGUAGAGAUUAGGAAGAACACCAGUGGCGAAGGCGGCUUUCUGGACUGUAACUGACGCUGAGGCACGAAAGCGUGGGUAGCAAACAGGAUUAGAUACCCUGGUAGUCCACGCCGUAAACGAUGGAUACUAGGUGUAGGGGGUAUCAACUCCCCCUGUGCCGCAGUUAACACAAUAAGUAUCCCGCCUGGGGAGUACGGUCGCAAGAUUAAAACUCAAAGGAAUUGACGGGGGCCCGCACAAGCAGCGGAGCAUGUGGUUUAAUUCGAAGCAACGCGAAGAACCUUACCUGGACUUGACAUCCCUUGCAUAGCCUAGAGAUAGGUGAAGCCCUUCGGGGCAAGGAGACAGGUGGUGCAUGGUUGUCGUCAGCUCGUGUCGUGAGAUGUUAGGUUAAGUCCUGCAACGAGCGCAACCCUUGUUAUUAGUUGCUACCAUUAAGUUGAGCACUCUAAUGAGACUGCCUGGGUAACCAGGAGGAAGGUGGGGAUGACGUCAAAUCAUCAUGCCCCUUAUGUCCAGGGCUACACACGUGCUACAAUGGUAGGUACAAUAAGACGCAAGACCGUGAGGUGGAGCAAAACUUAUAAAACCUAUCUCAGUUCGGAUUGUAGGCUGCAACUCGCCUACAUGAAGCUGGAGUUGCUAGUAAUCGCGAAUCAGAAUGUCGCGGUGAAUACGUUCCCGGGCCUUGUACACACCGCCCGUCACACCAUGAGAGCUGGUAACACCCGAAGUCCGUGAGGUAACCGUAAGGAGCCAGCGGCCGAAGGUGGGAUUAGUGAUUGGGGUGAAGUCGUAACAAGGUAGCCGUAGGAGAACCUGCGGCUGGAUCACCUCCUUUCUA